rnacentral:rRNA from 1 species
UACGUAGGGUGCGAGCGUUGUCCGGAAUUACUGGGCGUAAGGCGCACGUAGGCGGCUUUCUAAGUCGGGGGUGAAAUCCUGGAGCUCAACUCCAGAACUGCCUUCGAUACUGGAGAGCUCGAGUCCGGGAGAGGUGAGUGGAACUGCGAGUGUAGAGGUGAAAUUCGUAGAUAUUCGCAAGAACACCAGUGGCGAAGGCGGCUCACUGGCCCGGUACUGACGCUGAGGUGCGAAAGCGUGGGGAGCAAACAGG